ensembl:snRNA U6 U6 spliceosomal RNA
GUGUUCACAUUGGCAGCACACAUACUAAAACUGGAAUGAUACAGAGAAGAUUAGCAUGGCCCCUGCACAAGGAUGACACGCAAAUUCAUGAAGCACUCCAUAUUUAA